rnacentral:tRNA from 1 species
AUUGGAUUGUCAGAUUUAUGUAUUAAAUUUAGAAUUUAAUUAAGUAAUUAUAAUUACAUCCAAUA